GAUGAACGCUGGCGGCGUUCCUAAUACAUGCAAGUCGCGCGAACAGAUGAGAAGCUUGCUUCUCUGAUGUUAGCGGCGGACGGGUGAGUAACACGUGGGUAACCUACCUAUAAGACUGGGAUAACUCCGGGAAACCGGGGCUAAUACCGGAUAAUAUUUUGAAACGCAUGGUUCAAUAGUGAAACACGAUUUCGGCUGUCACUUAUAGAUUGACACGCGCCGUAUUAGCUAGUUGGUAAGGUAACGGCUUACCAAGGCGACGAUACUUAGCCGGCCUGAGAGGGUGAUCGGCCACACUGGAACUGAGACACGGUCCAGACUCCUACGGGAGGCAGCAGUAGGGAAUCUUCCGCAAUGGGCGAAAGCCUGACGGAGCAACGCCGCGUGAGUGAUGAAGGUCUUCGGACCGUAAAACUCUGUUGUUAGGGAAGAACAAAUUUGUUAGUAACUGAACAAGUCUUGACGGUACCUAACCAGAAAGCCACGGCUAACUACGUGCCAGCAGCCGCCGUAA
rnacentral:rRNA from 1 species